GAUGAACGCUGGCGGCGUGCUUAACACAUGCAAGUCGAACGAUGAAGCCCAGCUUGCUGGGUGGAUUAGUGGAGAACGGGUGAGUAACACGUGAGUAACCUGCCCUUGACUCUGGGAUAAGCCCGGGAAACUGGGUCUAAUACCGGAUAGGAGCGCCUGUCGCAUGACGGGUGCUGGAAAGAUUUUUCGGUCAUGGAUGGACUCGCGGCCUAUCAGCUUGUUGGUGAGGUAAUGGCUCACCAAGGCGACGACGGGUAGCCGGCCUGAGAGGGUGACCGGCCACACUGGGACUGAGACACGGCCCAGACUCCUACGGGAGGCAGCAGUGGGGAAUAUUGCACAAUGGGCGGUAGCCUGAUGCAGCGACGCCGCGUGAGGGAUGACGGCCUUCGGGUUGUAAACCUUCUUUUCAAGUAAGGGAAGAAA
rnacentral:rRNA from 1 species